rnacentral:rRNA from 1 species
UACAGAGGUCUCAAGCGUUGUUCGGAUUUAUUGGGCGUAAAGAGCUCGUAGGCGGUCUGUUGCGUCUGCUGUGAAAACCCGGGGCUUAACCCCUGGCUUGCAGUGGAUACGGACAGACUAGAGGUAGGUAGGGGAGAAUGGAAUUCCCGGUGUAGCGGUGAAAUGCGCAGAUAUCGGGAGGAACACCGGUGGCGAAGGCGGUUCUCUGGGCCUUACCUGACGCUGAGGAGAGAAAGCGUGGGGAGCGAACAGG